GCCUGCGGCCAUACCACCCUGAAAGCGCCCGAUCUCGUCUGAUCUCGGAAGCUAAGCAGGGACGGGCUUGGUUAGUACCUGGAUGGGAGACCGCCUGGGAAUACCAGGUGUUGUAGGCU
ensembl:rRNA 5S_rRNA 5S ribosomal RNA